UCGAGAAUAUUCCGCAAUGGGCGAAAGCCUGACGGAGCGACGCCGCGUGCAGGAUUAAGUACUUCGGUAUGUAAACUGCUUUUAUGAGGGAGGAAGUAAUUGACGUUACCUCAUGAAUAAGAGGUUGCUAAACUCGUGCCAGCAGCAGCGGUAAUACGAGUGCCUCGAGCGUUAUCCGGAAUCAUUGGGCGUAAAGGGUGCGUAGGUUGUCAUAUUAGUCUUUCGUUAAAACUUUCGGCUUAACCGGAAAUCUGCGGGAGAAACGGUAUGACUUGAGGAUGGAAGAGGUGAGCGGAACUCAUAGUGUAGGGGUGAAAUCCGUUGAUAUUAUGGGGAACACCGAAAGCGAAGGCAGCUCACUGGUCCACUCCUGACGCUGAAGCACGAAAGCGUGGGUCGCGAAUGGGAUUAGAUACCCGGGUAGUCC
rnacentral:rRNA from 1 species